rnacentral:rRNA from 1 species
GACGAACGCUGGCGGCGUGCUUAACACAUGCCAGUCGAACGAAGUGGCGAACGGGUGAGUAACGCGUAAUCAACCUGCCCUUCAGAGGGGGACAACAGUUGGAAACGACUGCUAAUACCGCAUACUAACGGAAGGGAUUGCGUUUGAUUAGCUAGUUGGAGGGGUAACGGCCCACCAAGGCGAUGCUCAGUAGCCGGUCUGAGAGUAUGAACCGUCACUUUGGAACUGAGACACGGCCCAUACUCCUACGGGAGGCAGCCGUGGGGACUCUUCCGCAAGGGACGAAAGUCUGACGGAGCAACGCCGCGUGAGUGAGGACGGCCUUCGGGUUGUAAAGCUCUGUUAAUCGGGACGCGGUACCGGAAUAGAAAGCCACGGCUAACUACGUGCCAGCCGCCGCGGUAAUAC